rnacentral:rRNA from 1 species
GAUGAACGCUGGCGGCGUGCCUAAUACAUGCAAGUCGAGCGAACGGACGAGAAGCUUGCCUCUCUGAUGUUAGCGGCGGACGGGUGAGUAACACGUGGAUAACCUACCUAUAAGACUGGGAUAACUUCGGGAAACCGGAGCUAAUACCGGCUAAUAUUUUGAACCGCAUGGUUCAAAAGUGAAAGACGGUCUUGCUGUCACUUAUAGAUGGAUCCGCGCUGCAUUAGCUAGUUGGUAAGGUAACGGCUUACCAAGGCAACGAUGCAUAGCCGACCUGAGAGGGUGAUCGGCCACACUGGAACUGAGACACGGUCCAGACUCCUACGGGAGGCAGCAGUAGGGAAUCUUCCGCAAUGGGCGAAAGCCUGACGGAGCAACGCCGCGUGAGUGAUGAAGGUCUUCGGAUCGUAAAACUCUGUUAUUAGGGAAGAACAUAUGUGUAAGUAACUGUGCACAUCUUGACGGUACCUAAUCAGAAAGCCACGGCUAACUACGUG